rnacentral:rRNA from 1 species
AAUAGAUACCCGGGUAGUCCACGCCGUAAACGAUGAGUGCUAAGUGUUGGGGGGUUUCCGCCCUCAGUGCUGCAGCUAACGCAUUAAGCACUCCGCCUGGGGAGUACGGUCGCAAGACUGAAACUCAAAGGAAUUGACGGGGGCCCGCACAAGCGGUGGAGCAUGUGGUUUAAUUCGAAGCAACGCGAAGAACCUUACCAGGUCUUGACAUCCCGGUGACCACUAUGGAGACAUAGUUUCCCCUUCGGGGGCAACGGUGACAGGUGGUGCAUGGUUGUCGUCAGCUCGUGUCGUGAGAUGUUGGGUUAAGUCCCGCAACGAGCGCAACCCUUAUUCUUAGUUGCCAUCAUUCAGUUGGGCACUCUAAGGAGACUGCCGGUGAUAAACCGGAGGAAGGUGGGGAUGACGUCAAAUCAUCAUGCCCCUUAUGACCUGGGCUACACACGUGCUACAAUGGACGGUACAAACGGUUGCCAACCCGCGAGGGGGAGCCUAAUCCCUUAAAGGCCAUUCUCAGUUCGGAUUGUAGGCUGAAACUCGCCUACA